AUUUUUUGUUUUUAUGCAAGUUCUUUCGUCUAAGAAGCACUGAAUUCUCUUUUUAGUUAGUGAACCUAUGAUUUUAAUUUAUAUUUAACCUUUACUUUCAGAGUUCUCGGGACUUUUCAAUAAAAAUACUAUUUUCUUUUGACAAUGCUCAGGGUCACCCGAGUCUGAGAAAACGUUCAUUUUUGGAUUAUUUGGGCAAGA
rnacentral:lncRNA from 1 species